AUUGAACGCUGGCGGCUUGCUUAACACAUGCAAGUCGAGCGGUAACAGGCGUAGCAAUACGUGCUGACGAGCGGCGAACGGGUGCGUAAUACAUGGGAAUCUGCCCUUUGGUGGGGAAUAACCCGGCGAAAGCCGGGCUAAUGCCGCAUGAGAUCUUCGGAUGAAAGCGGGGGAUCGUAAGACCUCGCGCCGAUGGAUGAGCCCAUGUCGGAUUAGCUAGUUGGUGAGGUAACGGCUCACCAAGGCGACGAUCCGUAGCUGGUCUGAGAGGACGGCCAGCCACACUGGGACUGAGACACGGCCCAGACUCCUACGGGAGGCAGCAGUGGGGAAUAGUGGACAAUGGGCGAAAGCCUGAUCCAGCGACGCCGCGUGUGUGAAGAAGGCCUGCGGGUUGUAAAGCACUUUCGAUGGGAACGAAAUGUGCCGGGCUAAUACCCCGGCAAGCUGACGUUACUCAAUGAAGAAGCACCAGCUAACU
rnacentral:rRNA from 1 species